AACGAACGCUGGCGGCAGGCUUAACACAUGCAAGUCGAACGCCCCGCAAGGGGAGUGGCAGACGGGUGAGUAACGCGUGGGAACAUACCCUUUCCAGCGGAAUAGCUCUGGGAAACUGGAAUUAAUACCGCAUACGCCCUACGGGGGAAAGAUUUAUCGGGGAAGGAUUGGCCCGCGUUGGAUUAGCUAGUUGGUGGGGUAAAGGCCUACCAAGGCGACGAUCCAUAGCUGGUCUGAGAGGAUGAUCAGCCACAUUGGGACUGAUACACGGCCCAAACUCCUACGGGAGGCAGCAGUGGGGAAUAUUGGACAAUGGGCGCAAGCCUGAUCCAGCCAUGCCGCGUGAGUGAUGAAGGCCUUAGGGUUGUAAAGCUCUUUCACCGAUGAAGAUAAUGACGGUAGUCGGAGAAGAAGCCCCGGCUAACUUCGUGCCAGCCGCCGCAGUAACAC
rnacentral:rRNA from 1 species